rnacentral:rRNA from 1 species
CCUACGGGAGGCAGCAGUGAGGAAUAUUGGUCAAUGGGCGCAAGCCUGAACCAGCCAAGUAGCGUGCAGGAUGACUGCCCUACGGGUUGUAAACUUCUUUUAUAAAGGAAUAAAUUGCGUCACGUGUGCCUUUUUGUAUGUACUUUAUGAAUAAGGAUCGGCUAACUCCGUGCCAGCAGCCGCGGUAAUACGGAGGAUCCGAGCGUUAUCCGGAUUUAUUGGGUUUAACGGGAGCGUAGAUGGGUUGUUAAGUCAGUUGUGAAAGUGUGCGGCUCAACCGUAAAAUUGCAAUGGAUACUGGCAGGCUGGAGUACAGUGGACGUAGGCGGAAUUCGUGGUGUAGCGGUGAAAUGCUUAGAUAUCACGAAGAACUCCGAUUGCGAAGGCAGCUUACUAAACUGCCACUGACAUUGAUGCUCGAAAGUGUGGGUAUCAAACAGGAUUAGAUACCCCAGUAGUC